rnacentral:tRNA from 1 species
GGUUUGUGGCUCAAUGGUAGAGCACUUGCUUAGCAUGUGUGAGGCACUGGGUUUGAUCCUCAGCACCA